rnacentral:rRNA from 1 species
GACGAACGCUGGCGGCGUGCUUAACACAUGCAAGUCGAACGGAAAGGCCUGUCCUUCCUUGUGUUGGACGGGUACUCGAGUGGCGAACGGGUGAGUAACACGUGAGUGAUCUGCCCCCAACUUGGGUAUAAGCCUGGGAAACUGGGUCUAAUUCCCGAUAGGACUGCAGGGUGGUGCCUGUGGUGGAAAACGAUUUUCUAGUGGUUGGGGAUGAGCUCGCGGCCUAUCAGCUUGUUGGUGGGGUAAUGGCCUACCAAGGCGGCGACGGGUAGCCGGCCUGGGAGAGUGGACGGGCACAUUGGGACUGAGAUACGGCGCAGACGCCUACGGGAGGCAGCAGUGGGGAGUAUUGCACGAUGGGCGGAAGACUGAGGCAGCGACGCCGAGUGGGGGAUGACGGGCUUCGGGUUGUAAACUCCUUUCGGCCGCGAGGAAGCCGCCUGGUUGGAAGGGUGGUGACGGUAGUGGUAGAAGAAGCACCGGCUAACUACGUG